rnacentral:rRNA from 1 species
GACGUAGGGCGCGAGCGUUGUCCGGAUUUAUUGGGCGUAAAGAGCUCGUAGGCGGCUUGUCGCGUCGACUGUGAAAUCCCGCGGCGUCAACUGCGGGUCUGCAGUCGAUACGGGCAGGCUAGAGUUCGGUAGGGGAGACUGGAAUUCCUGGUGGAGCGGUGAAAUGCGUUGAUAUCCAACGGAACUCCGGUGGCGAAGGCGAGGUGCGUGGACCCUUUCUGACGCUGAGGCGCGAAAGCCAGGGGAGCCGGAACGGG